AGAGAGGAACCGGUGUGGUGAACUCCUGGCAUGCGCAGGUGACAAGAGGUUCCGCAGGAAUGAAUGGAGUCUCUACACAUCAAAUCGUGUGUCUUGACUACUCAGGAUGUCAAGGGCAAAGGUUAACUCCUGGGGGUUUUCUUUCUGUAUUAAGAUUCUCAAGAGAACAGAACCAGUGGUGGGUUGUUCUACAGUGCCUUGCUUCUGAUUGUGCUGUCAACCUUCUCAGUCCCUGGGUUGGACCUAGGACAACAGGCCAGCCUUUGGUUAGCAUCAGCAGCUGAGUGGAGACUCGUCUCCAAGCAUCAAGGAUGUGAAAAUGUGAUCUUGUUGGGGAUAGUGGGAGCUUGGGGGAUGGGUUCCUUUGUACUUCUCUCAAGGUCUCCUGGUCCCUCCCUGUGUGUUUGUGGGCGCCACAGACAGCCUCACAAUCAGGAUGAGUGGUAACGGGACAGUCAAACACAAUGAAGGGAAUCAUUGUCUCACGAGAGUCAGAACAUCUGUUCCUCCCACCGCACCUGGGCGAAGGCCAAAUAAUCAAAAGAAGGAAACAGGAUCUGCCAACAACGCACUUUACCUUGAGUCUUUGUGUAGAGAAUACCUUCUCCAAGUAGGCGCCUUUCAUUGGCUCAGAUUUUCCCAUCUCAGUUGUCAUUAUAACUGAAAGCUAUUGUAGCUCAUAAUUUCACAUUGUCCUUUCAAAUAGAAGCAUCGCCAAGCAGAUGUGAACAAUUAUCUUCAAUUGUGAUUUUUUUUCCAUUAAAUUUCUAAAGGAAUACCUAA
rnacentral:lncRNA from 1 species